CCCCCCCCCCCCCUUAAAAGAUCUGAUGCACUAUUGUAAAGUGGCUGUUCCACCGGAUGCCAUAAGGUGAAUGCACCAAUUUGUAAGUCGCUCUGGAUAAGAGCGUCUGCUAAAUGACUUAAAUGUUAAAAUGUUAAAUGUUAAAUGUUAAUGAUCACAUUGUAAAAUAGUUGAUGAAUUUAUCUUAAUGACCUUUCUGUUAGUGCUUUUGAACGUCAUUAUGUCAUUAUUAUUAUUAUUAUUAUUGUAGUCAGAGAGUCAAGAUGAAACAGUGUUUUGUUUUUCUGAAUGUAGGAAUUCACUCACGGACCUGGUAUCUUAAUGUGAGUCAUGUAGUGGUGACUCAACAGAAAAAUAAUAACAGUUAUAAAAUGACAACAAAUAAUACAACUGUAAUUUAAAUAUUACAAAGCUCUUCGAAACACAUUUCAGUACUGCUGUUGUUAGAUUCAUAUCAACCAUGUAGGUGUUUGUCCUUUGGCGAUUAGUUUCUGAUGAUUUUGGCUUUGUUUUUUGUUUUUGAUCAUGUUUCUUCCUCAUGAUUAUUCUGAAGGCGCUCCAUAGAUUGCCAUGGCGAUAUAAUGAACACUGUUUUAGAGGCAGAUGUAGUACUGUGAUGUUGUUCACUACAGUUAGCUAGGUAGGUAGAUAUAUAGGCAGAUAGAUAUAAUUCUACAUUGAUUGUACACUAAAUACAGUUGUACAUUUGAUAUAGUAUAUUAUAAGAUGUAUUUUAAGGCGUGUAUAAUGUCUGCUGUUAACACCUCUGUUGCGUCUGAUGUCAGUGCAGUUGUACAUUUGUUCAUGAAUGGCUAGAUAAAUAGGUAGGUAGCUAGAUAAAUAGGUAGUUAGGUAGAUAAAUAGGUAGGUAGGUAGGUAAGUAGGUAGGUAGGUAGGUAGGUAGGUAGGUAGCUAGCUAGAAUUGUAAGUAGGUAGGUAGAUAUUGUAGGUAGGUAGUUAGAUAUAGUAGGUAGGAAGUUAGAUAUUGUAGGUAGGUAGGUAGGUAGAUAUCUUCUAGGUAGGUAGAUAGAUACAUAUUGUAGGUAAGUAGGUACUCUAGGGAGAUAUAUAUUGUAGGUAGGUAGGUAGGUAGGUAGGUACUCUAGGUAGAUAGAUAUUGUAGGUAGGUAGGUACUCUAGGUAGAUAGAUAUUAUAGAUAGGUAGGUACUCUAGGUAGAUAUAUAUUGUAGAUAGGUAGGUACUCUAGGUAGAUAGAUAUUAUAGAUAGGUAGGUACUCUAGGUAGAUAGAUAUUAUAGAUAGGUAGGUACUCUAGGUAGAUAGAUAUUAUAGAUAGGUAGGUACUCUAGGUAGAUAGAUAUUAUAGAUAGGUACUCUAGGUAGAUAGAUAUUAUAGAUAGGUAGGUACUCUAGGUAGAUAGAUAUUAUAGAUAGGUAGGUACUCUGGGUAGAUAGAUAUUAUAGAUAGGUAGGUACUCUAGGUAGAUAGAUAUUAUAUAUAGGUAGGUACUCUAGGUAGAUAGAUAUUGUAGAUAGCUAGGUACUCUAGGUAGAUAAAUAUUAUAGAUAGGUAGGUAGUCUAGGUAGAUAGAUAUUAUAGAUAGGUAGGUACUCUAGGUAGAUAGAUAUUAUAGAUAGGUAGGUACUCUAGGUAGAUAGAUAUUGUAGAUAGGUAGGUACUCUAGGUAGAUAGAUAUUAUAGAUAGGUAGGUACUCUAGGUAGAUAGAUAUUAUAGAUGGGUAGGUAGUCUAGGUAGAUAGAUAUUAUAGAUAGGUAGGUACUCUAGGUAGAUAGAUAUUGUAGAUAGAUAUUAUAGAUAUGUAGGUACUCUAGGUAGAUAGAUAUUAUAGAUUGGUAGGUACUCUAGGGAGAUAUAUAUUGUAGGGAGGUAGGUAGGUACUCUAGGUAGAUAGAUAUUGUAGAUAGAUAUUGUAGGUAGAUAUUUACAUUUACAUUUAAGUCAUUUAGCAGACGCUCUUAUCCAGAGCGACUUACAAAUGUACCUUUUUAUAUUUAACUAGGCAAGUCAGUUAAGAACAAAUUCUUAUUUUUCAAUGACGGCCUAGGAACAGUGGGUUAACUGCCUGUUCAGGGGCAGAACGACAGAUUUGUACCUUGUCAGCUCGGGGAUUUUAACUUGCAACCUUUCGGUUACUAGUCCAACGCUCUAGCCACUAGGCUACCCUGCCGCCCCACCCCAUGACUCACAGUAGGUAUUGUAGGUAGAUAUAUAUUGUAGGUAGAUAUAUAUUGUAGGUAGAUAUAUAUUGUAGGUAGGUAGGUAGGUACUCUAGGUAGAUAGAUAUUGUAGAUAGAUAGGUACUCUAGGUAGAUAGAUAUUGUAGAUAUACAGUAUAUUGUAGGUAGAUAGAUAUUUUUGUAGUUUGAUGUUUACAAAUUAUAACGUCUACAUUCUGGAAUAGAAACAACAAGUCACUGAGAUGCUUAUCUCUCGUCUGCAGAAAACCUGCCGUGACUGAGUGUACUGUCAACCCCACACCAGUGGUUUAACUUCCCAUCUGCUGAUGACACAUCCUGAAAGACACACAGCUGGUUUUCCUCAGCGUGACAUCAUCAAACUGCAACAUACUCGGCUCGGCCUCGAAACACACUGAUGACUUAACUUAAAGGUUGUCUGUCCUGCAACUGUACGACAGCGAAGUGAAAUGUACUUAUUUAUUUGUAUUUUUUUUGGGGGGGGGACCUAUUUAUAUUUUGCAGAUUAACUUGCUAGUGCAACCACUCUUUGGGUUCUCCACAUACCACUACGUUUUCACAGGUAAACAUAGAUCAACCGAUCAAUCCCCGUAGAAAGAACUAUGACAAGUACUGUGGCAGGUUUGCCAUCAAAAUUGAUGAACCAGCAAACAGUUAAAAAUCUUAUUUCCAAAAGUAUGACUCUUCUAUACCUAAAAGUUCUGAUCACACCUGACCUGGCUGAAGGUUAGGAUACCCCGAUGACUGGAAACCCAAUGUAUUCUCCUCCAACAAAUACAACGCUGGUUUGUAUCAAUAAACUGUUGCUUCAUUGAAAA